GCCUCUUCAGAGACAUCCGACAAAAUUGGAACGAUACAGAGAAGAUUAGCAUGCCCCUGCGCAAGGAUGACAUGCAUAAAUCGAGAAAUGAUCCAAAUUUUU